rnacentral:lncRNA from 1 species
GGAGGGGAGGGGCCGCCGCCUACCCCGCGCGCUGCAACCCGCCCCGGGCCUCGGGAGACGCAGCCGCCUCGGCCCGGCACUGGGCUAAGCAAUCCCUGAGACCCCAGAGCUCCUCGUCCUGUGUGUGUGUGGGGGGGUGGGGGGUGGCGUAGCGUUCCAGCCUCCGGGCGACGAGGUGGCGACGCCGAGUCGGAAGGCCACUCAUCCCCAAACCGGCAUUUCGAAAAUGACUUCUCUGGCGACUGCAAGUGCCCGAGAUUUUUUAAUUUUCCGUCCACACUGAACUCCUUGUACUUAAAUUCCCCGUGCCCCGCAUGCAGCAGUGCCUCACCAAGAGGUCUCCGGAAAGAAAAUUCCUCCCAAAGGAAAUAUCUCGAGAUUAUAAAAAUGGAUUACAGUCAUUCCAGCAGAGCAUUCUGUGGUGAAAUCUAAUGGUUCAGAUGGAAAAUCCUGGUAUCAGCCUGUCCAGUCCUCAGAGGUGUGUGUCCAUAGGGUUGUGAUUCAGACCCUCUCAUGGUGGCUGCCUUGACCAACUCGUUAUUAGUAUUAUAACCAUGUUGUGACCAAAUGUAAUUGAACGUUUACUGGCAGAAUGCAAAGUGCUCUUCUGAAAACCCCUC